GCACUGCUGUGGAGUUUUACAAUAAGACGAAACGGCCGUCCAGUGC
rfam:Schistosoma mattheei strain Denwood, Zambia genome assembly, scaffold: SMTD_scaffold0009877